rnacentral:rRNA from 1 species
UACGUAGGGUGCAAGCGUUAAUCGGAAUUACUGGGCGUAAAGCGUGCGCAGGCGGCUUUUUAAGUCUGUCGUGAAAUCCCCGGGCUUAACCUGGGAAUGGCGAUGGAGACUGCAAGGCUAGAGUUUGGCAGAGGGGGGUAGAAUUCCACGUGUAGCAGUGAAAUGCGUAGAGAUGUGGAGGAACACCGAUGGCGAAGGCAGCCCCCUGGGUUAACACUGACGCUCAUGCACGAAAGCGUGGGGAGCAAACAGG